UAUGUGGCCGUUCCAGAUAAGAGCGUCAUUCGCCCUAGGCCUGUAUUAAGCACAUGGACUUCCUCUGGUAAGGAAUCCGUGGUUUAUUCCUGUGACAGGCUUCGAAUGGCCUUCAGUGUUCCUUAAUUACAUUAGCUUGCUCCCUGAAGCGUUCUCACAGUGUCGUCUCAGUCCAGCUCUUAGCUAAAGAUGCUAGUUUGUGGUUGUGUGUUGCCAUCUUCACACAUGGCUAGACAAGAUACUUUGUUUUUCGUACAAGGUUUUGUUUGUUGAGGGCUUAGCUAGCGGAUGGCAGGAGGUAAUGCCAUGCUGCAGCAUGCUAAUUACCGCUAAACAUGGUAAACCCAACACCCUGGACAGAUGAUGCGUCACAGCAUGGCACUAAGCCUAAACCCUUCACUUCUCUUUAUCUCUCCCUCUUCUUGUCUACUCUUCUCUGUUCAUUCAGAACUAGCUCGCCGGGGAUUUCACACUUUAUCACCUCGUCUAACGCACCGCAGAGCACUGGAAAUCACCGUCUGCAGUUGAGUGAUUCCAUAGUAAUGAGAUUUGAGGUACAUCAAAGUACCAUGCCUUUGAGGGAGGAAAAUAGAUCAGACAAAUAGGACUCAAAUGCAAAUCCCUCACAACGAUGACCAUAAGUUUUCUACCUCGAGAACACAAUAUGAAAGCAGUGAAUGAGUUGAAGACAGACAGCGAGAAGCUAGUAAGUACCAUCUUUCGCGAAUGAGCCUUUAAGAACAUCAGUUUGCUCAUUGAAUUCUGAUAUAGAAACAGAGAGAGGGUGGAGGAGGAGAGAGAGAUGAGCAGAAGACAGAGUUGCUGUGAAAUGGGUAGAAAAAUGGGUCAGAAGUGAAGCUGUGAAAUAAUGCUCAUGGGAGGAAAUGAGGAAUUGAGUCAUUGUGCUCAAAACCAAUCGCUGGCCUCGUUCUGAAACAAAUACACACGUGUAACACCCACUACAUUUACAUAAGUUUUUGGAACCAGCACAACAUCUUCAUGUGUUUCCAUAUGGAUAUGGCAGCUGUGUGGAUGAAGAUAUGAUUAGAAAUUGAGGAAGGCACUUGAAAAGAAUACCUGUCAGUGGAUUGAUUUGUUUUAGAAGAAUGGAGAAGCAUUAAGCUGGAGAAGAGCCAGUGUGUACUGCUGAGGACUGAUGUCUCAGGUGUCACUGCGGGGCCGUUACCCCUCCCAGACGCCCCUAGUCUGCCUGGCAUCACACAGCCGAUCCAAUCCCAGGCCUCAAUAUAUGUCAGAGGGAUAACUGGGAUAAACUCCAAAUUACAACCUUCUGUAAGAAAAGCAUGGCUCUGUUUCAAUUUCCAGAGAAGCCCAGAGCAUAUAAUGAGACCAGCACUAAAUGACCCUUUGAGGAAAGUGCUAUUGAUGCAUUAUGGUAAUGCAUUUUUCUUCUGGUCCUCACAAUUUGUUUUAAAAACAUUCUUGCAGUGAAGGACAGUGGUAGUUUUAGCAGAUUCAGAGGGGAAAAAAUGAUCCACACAAAGACCUUGGCUGAGACAGCACUUUCCACAUAUACAGUGGCCCCCAAAACGUUUUUGAACACUUAAUGAAUAUUUUUGCUUUAUAUAACAAAUAUGUGGCAAGUGCAGUUUACUGUAUAUGAAAAAACCAGCACAAACACAUUUCAAGCAAAACAUUUCAGAAAAUAAGUAAAUAUAAGUGGAGAAUGGAAUGACAUCUAAUGCUAUUGAAUAUGCAAACCUCAGUCAGGUAGAAGUUCUUCAGUAUACUAAUGUAUCAAAAGUAGUUUUGGGACACAAAGAGGGAAACUAAGUGCAGUUUUUAAAAAUAAUUGAUAUUCAACAAGAUACCAGAACUAGAGAACGUGAACAUAAUGGUUUUGUGAGUCACUUGAAAGUUAAAAUAUUUAGGUUUGUACAAUUAAAUUUGAAUAAUUGAUAUUUAUAGUUGUGCUAUAAUGUGCUAUGGAUUUCAGGAAAUGUGUUUAAGGAACUGAGAAAAACUUUAUUAUCCUAAGGUAUAGUCUUACUUAAAGCAAUUACCUCCUGGUAAGAGCAUCUCCAAACACAGGUCUGGCUCCAGUUUCGUAGUGCAUAUUAAGGACAUCUGCCAAGACCUCACAGCACUUACAGUACAGGAAGUUCCUUAUAAAGGAUAAAUAAUGGGUUUCAUUCACUAACAGUGCACAUGCAUUUGUGAGUGAAACCUGUGUGUGAACAUUUUUACACAGAAAGCAUGAUUCACCAAUAAGCUAAAAUUGUAACACUGUAUCAUGUUUAAUGCAAAAUUCUAAAGUCUCUAAAUUAUCAACAAUCAAAAUGUUGCUGAAAAAAUCGGUUUUACACAAUCCACUACAUGCCUUCUGUGAUCUGAUUGUUUGUUUGUUCUUUUUUUGCAGGUAAAAGGCCUUCUAUGCCCACCUUCGGGUCAUGGUACACAUUCCUUUUUGCUGUAAAAUCUUUACUGAUUUUUAUAAAGUAAACGUAAGGAUAAAUUAGAUUUUUUGUUCAGUAAUAUUUCAAGAUUACCAGAAUAUCAGCAACUGCACUAAAUGGCUUUUUUUUUUUGUUGCAGCAUUUGGGUUGUUUUUCUUUAAGUACAAGCUCCAUAUAUCAUACUAUAUGAGCCAUACAAGCCUGAUGAAUCAAAUAUAAUACUCACAUGCAAUUUUUUUAUUUGACAUAUUGUCUAAUGGUUUAAUAAACUCUUGUUAAAAAUAUUUUUCUAUUAUUACAUGUAAAACUGCACACUACAGUAUUAAAGCAACUAAAAUCACACAUUUGUAUGAUAUAUAUAUAUAUAUAUAUAUAUAUAUAUAUAUAUAUAUAUCACAGCCUUUGCCUUGAAAGGAUAGUUC
ensembl:lncRNA